rnacentral:rRNA from 1 species
GACGAACGCUGGCGGCGUGCUUAACACAUGCAAGUCGAACGGAAAGGCCCUGCUUUUGUGGGGUGCUCGAGUGGCGAACGGGUGAGUAACACGUGAGUAACCUGCCCUUGACUUUGGGAUAACUUCAGGAAACUGGGGCUAAUACCGGAUAGGAGCUCCUGCUGCAUGGUGGGGGUUGGAAAGUUUCGGCGGUUGGGGAUGGACUCGCGGCUUAUCAGCUUGUUGGUGGGGUAGUGGCUUACCAAGGCUUUGACGGGUAGCCGGCCUGAGAGGGUGACCGGCCACCUUGGUCCUGAGAUACGGCCCAGAGUCCUACAGGGGGCAACAGUGGGGAAUAUUGCACAAUGGGCGGAAGCCUGAUGCAGCAACGUCGCGUGCGGGAUGACGGCCUUCGGGUUGUAAACCGCUUUCGCCUGUGACGAAGCGUGAGUGACGGUAAUGGGUAAAGAAGCACCGGCUAACUACGUG